rnacentral:rRNA from 1 species
AGGUAAUAUUUGCACUAAAUCUCCUGGACUCCAUGUCAUGCACGAGUACUAGAAAUCCAAUGCUUCUUUGGACAAGCGAUCAUCAUUUGCAUGUUGGUUCGUGGCGUAUGAUCCAUGCCAAUGUACGCUAGUCGCCGACGAUCCCUAUAUUUUAUAUCAUAUCGGAUUUACUGACAAAAUCUGGUGUCAACAACAGCAUGUAUAAUAUAAAUAAAUAUUACCUUUGCUCGAUAUCCGAAGAAAUAUCCGUAUGUGAUAGUAACCGUAUCCGGUUUGCUCCGUAUUCGAGACAUAUCUAUUCGUAUUCGUAACCGAAACAAUCCGCAUUCGUAUAUGUAUCCGAGUAUAUCCGUGUUCGAAUCCGAAUCCGAUAGAAAAUAUGAAAAUAAAUACAAUAUUAGUAAUAUCCGUCCAUAUCCGAUCCGUUUUCAUUCUUAGAUCCUAGAGUUCCAUCAUGGGCAUCUAGCUGUAGAUAAUUGUGGUUGUCUCAGUCUGGCACCUGUUAGAAAGUGACUAUAUAAAGAGGGACACAGAAUCUAGUAGGCCGGGGCUAGUAAUAGGUAUAUUUUUUUUCUCUGUUUUGACUAGUGACUUGGACGAGUUACUAAUAGACAUGAAAGAAAAGGUGUUACACUUAAAGAGUGCCCACAAAGUAUAUAUAGUACGUGGCAAAUAUAUUUCUAAAAGGAAACAAAUUAUAUAUGUUUACGAAUUUAUGAACAAACUAUAUAUGUAUGACUUAGGAUAAUAAGAAUACUUGCAUUGCUAACUUGGUGAAGGCCACAUCCUUUUCAUAACUAAGGUAGCUUCGCGUAUUGUGGUAGAUAUAUUUUCAAAAGUAAACAUAAUUAUUUUGCUACCUUAAGUUUUGGAUACCAAAACCAUGUGACAGUCGUUUGAUUUAGCCCGAUAAUAGCAAACGAGUUCGCUAGAAUUAGUAAAGCAAAGUUGCUAGAUUCACCCAACACUCCAUGCGUGGCAGAAAGGUUCUUUUGCUAGACAAAGCCGUCAACUAAUUCAGAGGGGCUCGGCUGGCCCGGUCGCCGUACGCUACUGGCGCUUCCAAAGGCAAAGCUCUCGUCUUCGGCGACCAGCAAACGGAGGGCUAAAACCUUUAGUUUUGAAGCAAGGGAUGAACGCGAAAGCCGUUGCGCUUCCGUACACGCGCAUACGUUUUCUUGUUCCGUCGUGCGUUAGUACAAUAACGCGCAGCCGUUUUCUUGCUAGGGCGGACAUGGAUCGACUCUCUAAGAAGACUCUGAAGUGGGCAAACACUCGGCCCAGCGGGCGAACAUGCCGGCUCCGGCUCCGCGUACCUGCUCACACCUUUCGAACCACUUUCACGUGUGAACCGAAGUCGUCUUGCUGAACUCCUUCCUUUCUCAUUUCAGUCCUCACCUUUUUCAUCUUCCGUAGGGGCCUUUAGUCUUUUGAUUAGAGUAGAGGUCACGAGAGAGCAGAGUGUACCGCCCUGCCAUAGUCGCGAGGAUCUUAAUAUUCGGUCACGACUGUUGUCAUAGUCAACGACGGUUGAAACUUCCAUGAAAAAACUUCGAAUUGGGAGGGCGAUCCUCCCAGUGAACUGACCGUACCCCAAACCAACACAGGUGAACAAGUAGAGUAUACUAGGGCGCGUCGAGAGAACCAUGUCGAAGGAACUCGGCAAAAUGACCCCGUAACUUCGGGAGAAGGGGUGCUCUCCUAUCUUUUGAUUAGGAAAGUGGCACAUACCAGGGGAUAGCGACUAUUUAUUAAAAACACAGGACUCUGCUAAGUGGUAACACGAUGUAUAGAGUCUGACACCUGCCCGGUGCUGGAAGGUCGGAAGGAGAAGUGUGAUAAGCUUUGAAUGGAAGCCCCGGUAAAUGGCGGCAGUAACUCUAACUGUCCUAAGGUAGCGAAAUUCCUUGUCGCAUAAGUAGUGACCCGCACGAAUGGUGUAACGACUGCCCCGCUAUCUUCGACAUGGACUCGGUGAAAUCGUGAAGAUGCGAAGUACCAACGGCUAGACGGUAAGACCCCAUGCACCUUGAUUAUAGCUUCGUAGUGACAACCUUGAUCGAAUGUGUAGGAUAGGUGGGGAGGUGGUGACACACAACGACCAAUCCUGAAAGACCACUCUUUCAUCUAAGGAUGCCUAACUGCAGCACCGAUCAUUCGGGGUGCGGGGGGACACUGUGAGGUGGGAAGUUUAUCUGGGGCGGAUGCCUCCUAAAAAGUAACGAAGGUGUGCCAAGGUAGGCUCAAGUGUUGAUUCUGCUCGUGAGCGUAAUGGUAUAAGCCUGCCUGACUGUGAGAACGACUGGUCGAACAGAGACGAAAGUCGAUCAUAGUGAUCCGGGAGUCCCGUGUGGAAGGGCUCUCACUCAACAGAUCAAAGGUACGCCGGGGAUAACAGGCUGAUGACUCCCAUGAGCUCUUAUUGACGGAGUCGUUUGGCACCUCGAUGUCGACUCAUCACAUCCUGGGGUUGAAGAAGGUCCCAAGGGUUCAGUUGUUCACCGAUGAAAGUGGUACGUGAGUUGGGUUUAGAACGUCGUGAGACAGUUCAGUUCCUAUCUACCAUUGGUGUUAAAGGGAGAACUGCGAGGAGACAACCCUAGUACAAGAGGACUGUGUUGGGUCAACCUAAGGUGUACUGGUUGUUAUGCCAAUAGCAGCACCGAGCAGCUAAGUUGGUAUGGAAGAACUGCUGCGCCGCGGGAAAUCCUUCUCUGUACAAGUUCUCGUACGAGGUUUUUGAACAGAACUCCGAUAGGUGAGAGGUGUAAGCACCGCGAGGUGUGAAGCGAUCUCGUACUAAACGAAUGGAACUUUCCAAC